rnacentral:misc_RNA from 1 species
AAAAAAAAAAUAAAACGAAAAAAGGAGUAAGCUAAGCUACCAUUGGAAUUGGCAAAUGACAUGAGAGAGAGUUACUGACAUUUGCUCUUGGAUCUACCAAACAGCUUUAGCAUAAUAGCAUGGAUGGUGGUGGUGGCGGCGGUGGCGGUGUUGCUGUAACGAGGUUGAAGUCAUUAUUCAAUUAAUGGAGAUGGCGAGAGUGGUUAAAAAUUGGUGGAGCCA